UUUAUUGAGAGUUUGAUCCUGGCUCAGGAUGAACGCUGGCGGCGUGCCUAACACAUGCAAGUCGAACGGACGAGAGGAGCUUGCUCCUCAAGUUAGUGGCGGACGGGUGAGUAAUGUAUGAGCAACCUGCCUUUCAGAGGGGGACAACAGUUGGAAACGACUGCUAAUACCGCAUGAUAUAUUCGGAUGGCAUCGUCUGAAUAUCAAAGAUUUAUCGCUGAAAGAUGGGCUCACGUCUGAUUAGUUAGUUGGUGAGGUAACGGCUCACCAAGACUGCGAUCAGUAGCCGGACUGAGAGGUUGAACGGCCACAUUGGGACUGAGAUACGGCC
rnacentral:rRNA from 1 species